rnacentral:rRNA from 1 species
AAUUUUGGACAAUGGGGGAAACCCUGAUCCAGCCAUCCCGCGUGUAUGAUGAAGGCCUUCGUGUUGUAAAGUACUUUUGGCAGAGAAGAAAAGGUAUCUCCUAAUACGAGAUACUGCUGACGGUAUCUGCAGAAUAAGCACCGGCUAACUACGUGCAAGACGCCGCGUGAAUACGUAGGGUGGAAGCGUUAAUCGGAAUUACUGGGAGUAAAGCGUGUGUAGGCGGUUCUGAAAGAAAGAUGUGAAAUCCCAAGGCUCAACCUUGGAACUUCAUUUUUAACUGCCGAGCUAGAGUAUGUCAGAGGGUGGUAGAAUUCCACGUGUAGGAGUAAAAUGCGUAAAUAUGUGGAGAAAUACCGAUGGCGAAGGCAGCCCCCUGGGAUAAUACUGACGCUCAGACACGAAAGCGUGGGGAGCAAACAG